GACGAACGCUGGCGGCGUGCCUAAUACAUGCAAGUAGAACGCUGAAGGAGGAGCUUGCUUCUCUGGAUGAGUUGCGAACGGGUGAGUAACGCGUAGGUAACCUGCCUGGUAGCGGGGGAUAACUAUUGGAAACGAUAGCUAAUACCGCAUAACAGUAGAUAUCGCAUGAUAUCUAUUUGAAAGGUGCAAUUGCAUCACUACCAGAUGGACCUGCGUUGUAUUAGCUAGUUGGUGAGGUAACGGCUCACCAAGGCGACGAUACAUAGCCGACCUGAGAGGGGGAGCGGCCACACUGGGACUGAGACACGGCCCAGACUCCUACGGGAGGCAGCAGUAGGGAAUCUUCGGCAAUGGACGGAAGUCUGACCGAGCAACGCCGCGUGAGUGAAGAAGGGUUUCGGAUCGUAAAGCUCUGUUGUAAGAGAAGAACGAGUGUGAGAGUGGAAAGUUCACACUGUGACGGUAUCUGACCAGAAAGGGACGGCUCACUACGUG
rnacentral:rRNA from 1 species